ACAGGAGGAGAAGAGGAAACAGGAUCAGUGGCUGCUCCACUAGUUUCUCCGGCUUUGGCAGGAGGAGGAGGCAAAGUCUUCAAGGGAGAGACCUGCUGCACGAUGUUGGCCCGCUUUGCAGUAGGGGCGUCCUUACUCUGGUCCUUCUUCGUGGCUGGAGGACGAGAACGUUUCCUGGUUAGAGCCCCAAUCACAGCGUCCUCCAUCUUAUGGCCAGGAAGUAUCAAGCGAGACUCGAGGAAGUUGUAUGUAGUUAGCAGUUCUCGGCUCGAGCAGGAAUUGGCCAGUACAGCCUCGACCCGUUUAAGCUGGUCAGGUUUGAGCGGGAAGUGAACACCCCAAGAACCUGCAACACAAACAAACUCUUGGUUAGGGACAAACCAGUAAAGUGCAAACAAGAAGGGAGACAAGACGUCUAAUACGAGCAGGCAACCUGGGACCACGAAACGGGGUGGGACGCGGAAGUUCUGCCCAUCAACCUGUGCAACUUGACCCCAGGGACCCCCUACAAAAAAGAACUUCCUCUUCCAAUUCCCACCACCACCAGUAGGAAGAUCAGUUAUGGGUUUCCUGGUUUUGGUACUUGAUUGGAAGUAAUACCAGCCGGUGUCUUUGGGGCUGCUUUUCAGCUGGUAUAGGUGCUUCACCUCAUCGACCGUGGGCUCGCUUUGGCAACAUCUGUCCCACAGUAUGAACAGACCAGAGAGCACUCUCCACCCGUUUGGGUUCAGCUGACCAGGAGCUAGAUUUAGCCCGUUAAGAAUCCGGGCAAAGUAGGGUUGCAAAGGACACCUCAGCCCGUGCCUGAAACUCUCCAAGAACAAGGUAACAUAACCCCUAGGAGGCCGGCUAGGGGUAUCCUUCUUUCCUGGGACCUUAAGAAUUAUUUCACCAGGAAUGCUAUACCUAAGCCGAAGGUCAUCGAGCUCACCAAACGUGGCCGUGCACGUCAUAUAAUCAAUAGCGUAAUCCCGCGAUAGGGCUCUACCCCCUACUGUACUCUGCCCUUCUGGUCGCGACGCUCCUGAUGGGGACACCUCACCAGAAUUAUCUCCUCGACCCUCACUCAGGUGUUCUCCGAGCUUGAAGACCCCUCUUCAUCGCUAUGUCCGCUCGAGGAGGUUGUUUGGGGGGACAUCCCCCUAGCGCUCGUGCCAACACUGGAUCUAAGAGGCUCCAAAGGGAUCCCGGGGUCAAAAGCAAGAUCGGUGAACAGACUAGGCAGGAAGUCCAACCCACCGUCGUCAACCUCAAUGACCUUUUCUUUACCUUUCGACAUUCCCUAAGCUCUAACCACAACACCACCACCAACUACCACCCAAAUAAAAGAGAAGAGAAAUUAUCUAUAACUAUCCGAGACGAAGGAGAUAGGAGAAAUACCUGAAGUAAUGGUUCAGUCGGUGAAAGACAGAGAUGGAGGCCUUUAUGCCGGAACUUCUUCGCCGGAGAGACAGAGACGAAGACGGAGGGAAAUAUGAGUUUGCCGAUUCGAAAGGAUAUGGGUUACCUAAUGGGGACGGAUUCUUGGGUUGCCAGCAUUUAACGGCACCAAAUCCUAAGGGCCUCGUAACCGUUGGUUUGAAAUUCGAAUGGAGGGGCAGAUUUCUGCCACCUCACCUUCUCCGCAAUUAAAUGCGAUAUGACUCUUAGCAGCCUUUCCCAGUCCCACGCGAGCAAGAGCUAUUGAGUUUCUACUGCUGGUCCAUUACAUUACCCAACACCAGAAACUGGGGGACCGGUGUUCACCUGCUGCACGAUGUUGGCCCGCUUUGCAGUAGGGGCGUCCUUACUCUGGUCCCUCUUCGUGGCUGGAGGACGAGAACGUUUCCUGGUUGUAUGUAGUUAGCAGUUCUCGGCUCGAGCAGGAAUUGGCCAGUACAGCCUCGACCCGUUUAAGCUGGUCAGGUUUGAGCGGGAAGUGAACACCCCAAGAACCUGCAACACAAACAAACUCUUGGUUAGGGACAAAC
rnacentral:lncRNA from 1 species